rnacentral:rRNA from 1 species
GACGAACGCUGGCGGUGUGCUUAACACAUGCAAGUCGAACGGUAAGGCCCUUUCGGGGGUACACGAGUGGCGAACGGGUGAGUAACACGUGAGUAAACUGCCCUCAUCUCUGGGAUAACAGUCGGAAACGGUUGCUAAUACUGGAUAUGAGCUUGCAAGGCAUCUUGUGGGUUGGAAAGAUUUUUUUUGGUUGGGGAUGGACUCGCGGCCUAUCAGCUUGUUGGUGUGGUAGUGGCUCACCAAGGCUUCGACGGGUAGCCGGCCUGAGAGGGCGACCGGCCACAUUAGGCCUCAGAUACGGCCCGAACUCCUACGGGAGGCAGCAGUGGGGAAUAUUGCACAAUGGACGGAAGUCUGAUGCAGCAAGGCCGCGUGCGGGAUGACGGCCUUCGGGUUGUAAGACGCUUUCAAUUGUGACGAAGCUUUUUUGUGACGGUAGCAGUAGAAGAAGCACCGGCUAACUACGUG